GCAAGUGCUUGAUUUAUGGAUUAUCAGCAGUAAAUUUACAUGUUUAUUUAAAUAGCAGUAUUUUAAUGUAGGAAACUGUAUGUAUUUUUACAUUAAUUGUUUUACAGUUUACCAUGAGUAAUAGUGCAACACAUCCAGCUUACAAUAAUUCUACACAUUGAAAUGACAACGGAGAAUCUCCAGAGGCAAUACAGCAAUACUUACUUUCAGUUCCGAAACUAAAUAUAGGACUCGUAAUUUCAGCUUGACCAUAGAGGAAGUGUCUUUUAACACCGUUUUUAGAUUAGUAUGAAACAAGACCUCAUUGUUGCUGCUGAAUGAUGCUGGUUAGUACUACUGAGUCUACUUAGGCUAAGGUAACAUUUGUAUUUUUUAAUUUAACACAUUUAAGUGAAUUUGCAAGUACAUGUCAUUUUAUAAAUAUAUGUAUUUAAAUAUUCCAGUUUUACUUUGAGAAGAUAUGACAGCAAAAGAGAUAUGUGGCACUUUUGGCGAAUGGUAUCGCUACUUCUUGUUCAGUGUCUUGGUCAUCGACAUCGCCCUGAUAUUUUUGGUUUAUCACUUAGAAACAAGUUUGAAAGAAAUAACUGAAAAUUUCCAAAGGGACAGAUGUCAAGAAGAGGACUAUGUCAAUUACGGAGCAAGUGGCUUUACAUGCGAGCAAGCCAGCUGAAGCAAUAAUUGAAAAAAUAAUGUAAAAUUGCUCUCAUACAAAAAUGACAGUUCAAAGAAAGAACUGAUGCGUUGUAAUGGAGUGUCUUAAUAUAGACCUAUUUCAUUAAAUGAGUUCACCACAUUCAAAUGUAUAUUUUUGUGCAGCAAUCUGCAGUAAAUUUGAAUAGGUACAGCUUGAUAACGUGUUGCUCAGCUUUUCUGAUAAAAAUAUAUUGCACUGUAAAAUAAAUAGAAAAUAAUGCUUUGUUUUAAAGUUAUACUGAAAAGAUAAUAUGCUUGUAUAAUACCUGUUACAAAAAAUUCUGAUGAGUUUCAGGUGGGUCAAAAUAUUAUCCCUAAGUAACCCCUUAAAGCAGUCAUAUGAUGCGAUUUCAAGUUUUCCUUUCUCUUUGGAGUGUUACAAGCUGAUUGUGCAUAGAUAAGAUCCCUGAAGUUGCAAAGACUAAAGUCUCAAAACCAAAGAGAUAUUCUUUAUCAAAGUUAAGACUCUGCCACACCCCUUAAAACGGCUCAUUCUAACACGCCCCCACAUAUCUACCUCACUAUGUGGAAAUAUUAGCAUAAUGCCGCCCAAAUGUGCACGCAAAGAAAGAAGGCGGUUUCAGUAACCGCAGUUAGAGUUGAAGCAGCCAUGUCAGGAAGACGCUGUGUGUUUCUAGGCGAAAGCAAAAGCACUUUAUUUGGCCUUCCGAAAGUAGAUGCAUUUAGGAAUCUUUAAGAUGACUUACAACAGAACAGCAAUGCAUUUUAUGCAGAGGCGGACAGUAACUACGUACAUUUACUUGAGUACUGUACUUAAGUACACUUUUUGAGUAUCUGUACUAGGGCUGUAAUACUCGAGUCCGGUCUUGGUCUCUUUUUUCUCCUUCAAAACAAAACCACAUUUGCAUGUCGCGCCUGAAAACGCGUGGAAAACGCUAGGCGCGCCGCUUUCUCCUUCUUUCCAAAGCCCUCUGUAGCCUGCGCUCUAUCCAAGUAGAUAUAACUGCAGACCGGAGAUCUCCAAAAUGGGGCGUGAACUCCAAAAGUGGGCAGAACCUCCAAAAUGGGGCGGGGUCUCCUCA
ensembl:lncRNA